rnacentral:rRNA from 1 species
AGUGAACGCUGGCGGCGUGCCUAAUACAUGCAAGUCGAACGAAGUGGCGCACGGGUGAGUAAUAUAUAGUUAAUCUGCCCUACACAGAGGAACAACAGUUGGAAACGACUGCUAAUACCUCAUAGUGUAGGAAGAGACUAUAUCGUAUCAGCAAGUUGGUAAGGUAAUGGCUUACCAAGGCUAUGACGCGUAACUGGUCUGUGAGGAUGAUCAGUCACAUUGGAACUGAGCCACCUGCCAACCUCCUACGGGAGUCAGCCGUAAGGAAUAUUGCGCAAUGGGGGAAACCCUGACGCAGCAACGCCGCGUGGAGGAUGACACUUUUCGGAGCGUAAACUCCGUUUAUCAGGAAAGCGGUACCUGAUGAAUAAGCACCGGCUAACUCCGUGCCAGCAGCCGCGGUAAUAC